GACGAACGCUGGCGGCGUGCUUAACACAUGCAAGUCGAACGAAGCGGGGACGGGUUAGUAACACGUGGAUAACCUCCUAUACGACUGGGAUAAAUUCGGGAAACCGGAGCUAAACCGGCUAAUUAUAUAUGGAUCAGCGCGGCAUUAGCUAGUUGGUAAGGUAACGGCGUACCAAGGCAACGAUGGAUAGCCGACCUGAGGGGGUGAUCGGCAAAACGGGACCUGAGACACGGUCCAGCCUCCUAGGGGAGGAAGCAGUAGGGAAUCUUCCGCAAUGGGCGAAAGCCUGACGGAGAAACGCCGCGUGAGUGAUGAAGGCCUUCGGAUCGUAAAACUCUGUUAUUAGGGAAGCGGUACCUAAUCAGAAAGCCACGGCUAACUACGUGCCAGCAGCCGCGGUAAUAC
rnacentral:rRNA from 1 species